rnacentral:rRNA from 1 species
UACGGAGGGGGCGAGCGUUAUUCGGAAUUAUUGGGCGUAAAGGGCGCGUAGGCGGCCCGGUAAGUCAAAGGUGAAAUCCCUCGGCUCAACUGAGGAACUGCAUUUGGAACUGUCGGGCUUGAGGCCGGGAGGGGGUAGCGGAAUUCCCAGUGUAGCGGUGAAAUGCGUAGAUAUUGGGAGGAACACCGGUGGCGAAGGCGGGUCUCUGGGCCGAUACUGACGCUGAGGAGCGAAAGCUUGGGGAGCAAACAGG